rnacentral:rRNA from 1 species
UGGGGAAUUUUGGACAAUGGGCGCAAGCCUGAUCCAGCCAUGCCGCGUGCGGGAAGAAGGCCUUCGGGUUGUAAACCGCUUUUGUCAGGGAAGAAAUCUUCUGAGUUAAUACCUCGGGAGGAUGACGGUACCUGAAGAAUAAGCACCGGCUAACUACGUGCCAGCAGCCGCGGUAAUACGUAGGGUGCAAGCGUUAAUCGGAAUUACUGGGCGUAAAGCGUGCGCAGGCGGUUUUGUAAGACAGAGGUGAAAUCCCCGGGCUCAACCUGGGAACUGCCUUUGUGACUGCAAGGCUUGAGUGCGGCAGAGGGGGGAUGGAAUUCCGCGUGUAGCAGUGAAAUGCGUAGAUAUGCGGAGGAACACCGAUGGCGAAGGCAAUCCCCUGGGCCUGCACUGACGCUCAUGCACGAAAGCGUGGGGAGCAAACAGGAUUAGAUAGCCCUGGUAGUCCACGCCCUAAACGAUGUCAACUGGUUGUUGGGAAGGUUCCUUCUCAGUAACGUAGCUAACGCGUGAAGUUGACCGCCUGGGGAGUACGGCCGCAAGGUUG